rnacentral:tRNA from 1 species
GUGAUCGUAGCCUAAUGGUAAGGCACCAGUUUGUGGCACUGGGAAUGACAGUUCGAUUCUGUCCGAUCACA